GCUGAAUGUGGGGAUAAUUUAUCUCCGUGUUGUAGCUAACGCGUUAAGCACUCCGCCAGGGGACUACGGUCGCAAGACUAAAACUCAAAGGAAUUGACGGGGACCCGCACAAGCGGUGGAGCAUGUGGUUUAAUUCGAUGCAACGCGAAAAACCUUACCACUCCUUGACAUGGAGAUUAGAUCCUUCUUAACAGAAGGGCGCAGUUCGGCUGGAUCUCGCACAGGUGCUGCAUGGCUGUCGUCAGCUCGUGUCGUGAGAUGUUGGGUUAAGUCCCGCAACGAGCGUAACCCUCAUCCUUAGUUGCCAGCGGGUAAGCCGGGCACUUUAAGGAAACUGCCGGUGGUAAACCGGAGGAAGGUGGGGAUGAUGUCAAGUCAGCACGGCCCUUAUGGGGUGGGCUACACACGUGCUACAAUGGUGACUACAAUAGGUUGCAAUGUCGCAAGGCUGAGCUAAUCCGUAAAAGUCAUCUCAGUUCGGAUUGUCCUCUGCAACUCGAGGGCAUGAAGUCGGAAUCGCUAGUAAUCGUGGAUCAGCAUGCCACGGUGAAUACGUUCUCGGGUCUUGUACACACUGCCCGUCACGCCAUGGGAAUUGGCUUAACUCGAAGCUGGUGCGCUAACCGAAAGGAAGCAGCCAU
rnacentral:rRNA from 1 species